UACAGAGGUCUCAAGCGUUGUUCGGAUUCAUUGGGCGUAAAGGGUGCGUAGGUGGCGCGCUAAGUCAGGUGUGAAAGUCCAGGGCUCAACCCUGGAAGGCCGGUGGAAACUGUCGGGCUAGAGUCCGGAAGAGGCGAGUGGAAUUCCCGGUGUAGCGGUGAAAUGCGCAGAUAUCAGGAGGAACACCGAUGGCGAAGGCAGGUCUCUGGGCAACAACUGACGCUGAGGAGCGAAAGCGUGGGGAGCGAACAGG
rnacentral:rRNA from 1 species